rnacentral:rRNA from 1 species
UAGGGAAUCUUCGGCAAUGGGGGCAACCCUGACCGAGCAACGCCGCGUGAGUGAAGAAGGUUUUCGGAUCGUAAAGCUCUGUUGUUAAAGAAGAACACGUAUGAGAGUAACUGUUCAUACGUUGACGGUAUUUAACCAGAAAGUCACGGCUAACUACGUGACAG